AGAACGAACGCUGGCGGCAUGCCUAACACAUGCAAGUCGAACGCUUUUGGGGCUUCGGUCCCAAAGGAGUGGCGCACGGGUGAGUAGCGCGUGGGAACCUGCCCUGGAGUGGGGGGAUAACCGAGGGAAACUUCGGCUAAUACCGCAUGCGCCCGGUUUACCUUGAAAGGGGGAAACCGGGGAAAGAUUUAUCGCUCUAGGAGGGGCCCGCGUCGGAUUAGCUUGUUGGUGGGGUAACGGCCUACCAAGGCUUUGAUCCGUAGCUGGUCUGAGAGGAUGAUCAGCCACACUGGGACUGAGACACGGCCCAGACUCCUACGGGAGGCAGCAGUGGGGAAUAUUGGACAAUGGGCGCAAGCCUGAUCCAGCAAUGCCGCGUGAGUGAUGAAGGCCUUGGGUUGUAAAGCUCUUUCGCACGCGAGGAUGAUGACGCUAGCGUGAGAAGAACGCCCCGGCUAACUUCGUGCCAGCAGCCGC
rnacentral:rRNA from 1 species